rnacentral:rRNA from 1 species
CCUACGUGCGGCAGCAGUAGGGAAUCUUCCACAAUGGGCGAAAGCCUGAUGGAGCAACGCCGCGUGGGUGAAGAAGGUCUUCGGAUCGUAAAACCCUGUUGUUAGAGAAGAAAGUGCGUGAGAGUAACUGUUCACGUUUCGACGGUAUCUAACCAGAAAGCCACGGCUAACUACGUGCCAGCAGCCGCGGUAAUACGUAGGUGGCAAGCGUUAUCCGGAUUUAUUGGGCGUAAAGGGAACGCAGGCGGUCUUUUAAGUCUGAUGUGAAAGCCUUCGGCUUAACCGGAGUAGUGCAUUGGAAACUGGGAGACUUGAGUGCAGAAGAGGAGGGUGGAAGUCCAUGUGUAGCGGUGAAAUGCGUAGAUAUAUGGAAGAACACCAGUGGCGAAAGCGGCUCUCUGGUCUGUAACUGACGCUGAGGUGCGAAAGCGUGGGUAGCAAACAGGAUUAGAUACCCCAGUAGUC